GGGGCCAAUGUUUCCCUCACCUAGUACAGGUGCCAAUGUUUCCCUCACCUAGUACAGGUGCCAAUGUUUCCCUCACCUAGUACAGAUGCAAAUGUUUCCCUCACCUAGUACA